rnacentral:rRNA from 1 species
UACGAAGGGUGCAAGCGUUACUCGGAAUCACUGGGCGUAAAGCGUGCGUAGGCGGUUUCUUAAGUCUGUCGUGAAAGCCCUGGGCUCAACCUGGGAAUGGCGAUGGAUACUGGGAGGCUAGAGUGUGAUAGAGGAUGGUGGAAUUCCCGGUGUAGCGGUGAAAUGCGUAGAGAUCGGGAGGAACACCGGUGGCGAAGGCGGGUCUCUGGGCAUUUCCUGACGCUGAGGCGCGAAAGCGUGGGGAGCAACGGG